UGCCUGGAGAAGCGCGAGCGUCAUUAGGGCCGACCGAGAAGAGAUCAGCGGCGGUGGGGUUGGGGGAGAAUUCAGUGACGGCGUCGGUUAGCCGAGGAGAAGCGGGAGGUGGCGCCGCGCCGCAGUGCGACCGUGCGAGGGGAUGAGGAGGAGUGGAGGCAGAGCAAAAAUGCAAGAAAACCCAGUUUUUGCAGAAAAUCCCAAUUCCGUCCGCAACCUGGGCUUCGGGUUGAUUCUUCAAAAACGGAAGGGGUAAAAUGCAAAUUGGCUGACGGACCGACGACGAAGCCUUGCUAUUAGAUAGAUACUGUAUCUUAAUCCAUCACCUUUCAAAACAUUGAGGUGAUACCGAGAGCAUACAUUCUCUUCUUUUUUAAGAGAGAGAUCAUACAUUUUUUUUUUAAAAUCACAUCUAACUUUAUUUAAACUCGAUAAUCAUUACAUCUGUAGUGCUUGGCUUAUUUUUUUUUAGCGAAUUUAGGGGUCGUAGUGCUUCAGUGCCUGGAUGGUCCGUGGAAACGGAUGCGUACUGUGCAAGUCUGUCCAGAGAACCCAUUAGGAAAAUGAAUUAGUUCUGGCCCAAACAAGCCCAUCCACUCCUUUCUUCCUCCGUACGAAUGGGCCGCUAGGUAUCAAC
rnacentral:lncRNA from 1 species